UACGAAGGGUGCAAGCGUUAAUCGGAAUUACUGGGCGUAAAGGGUGCGUAGGCGGUUGUUUAAGUCUGUCGUGAAAUCCCCGGGCUCAACCUGGGAAUGGCGAUGGAUACUGGACAGCUAGAGUGUGUCAGAGGAUGGUGGAAUUCCCGGUGUAGCGGUGAAAUGCGUAGAGAUCGGGAGGAACAGCAGUGGCGAAGGCGGCCAUCUGGGACAACACUGACGCUGAAGCACGAAAGCGUGGGGAGCAAACAGG
rnacentral:rRNA from 1 species